GCAGUCGGAACCCGCUGCGGCCCCUGAGGAAGCGAGGAGGCGUCGGCGUCGGCUGAGGCGGGCGGACCGGCGAGGCGAGGCGGCGGCUCCAGGCCCCGAGUGACUCGGGAGCCCGGGCAGCGGCAGCGGCAGCGGCAGGACCUCUCCCCCUCACAGGCGGCGGGCGGAGGCGGCGGCGGGAGCGGUGGUGCCCCCGGGCACAGGGCCAUGUACAACGGGAUCGGGCUGCCGACGCCCCGGGGCAGCGGCACCAACGGCUACGUCCAGCGCAACCUGUCCCUGGUGCGGGGCCGCCGGGGUGAGCGGCCUGACUACAAGGGAGAGGAGGAACUGCGGCGCCUGGAGGCUGCCCUGGUGAAGCGGCCUAAUCCUGACAUCCUGGACCACGAGCGCAAGCGGCGCGUGGAGCUGCGAUGCCUCGAGCUGGAGGAGAUGAUGGAAGAGCAGGGGUACGAGGAACAGCAAAUCCAAGAGAAAGUGGCGACCUUUCGACUCAUGUUGCUGGAGAAGGAUGUGAACCCUGGGGGCAAGGAGGAAACCCCAGGGCAGAGGCCAGCGGUAACUGAGACGCAUCAGUUGGCAGAAUUGAAUGAGAAGAAGAAUGAGCGGCUCCGAGCUGCCUUUGGCAUCAGUGAUUCCUACGUGGAUGGCAGCUCUUUUGAUCCUCAGCGUCGUGCUCGAGAAGCUAAACAACCAGCUCCCGAGCCUCCCAAACCUUACAGCCUUGUUAGGGAGUCCAGCAGUUCUCGUUCACCGACCCCAAAGCAAAAGAAGAAGAAAAAGAAGAAAGACAGAGGACGCAGGUCAGAGAGUAGCUCUCCUCGACGGGAGAGAAAAAAGAGCUCAAAAAAGAAGAAGCACAGGUCGGAAUCUGAGUCCAAGAAACGAAAGCACAGGUCUCCCACUCCAAAGAGUAAACGUAAAUCUAAAGACAAGAAACGGAAGCGGUCUCGUAGUACAACACCAGCUCCCAAGAGCCGCCGGGCCCAUCGGUCAACCUCUGCUGAUUCUGCUUCCUCCUCUGACACUUCUCGCAGUCGGUCUCGAAGUGCUGCAGCUAAAAUACAUACAACUGCUUUGACUGGGCGAAGUCCUUCCCCUGCUCCAGGGCGUCGAGGGGAGGGAGAUGCGCCUUCUAGUGAACCAGGUACCACCAAUAUACAACGGCCUAGCAGCCCAGAGACUUCUACAAAGCAGCCUAGCAGUCCUUACGAGGACAAAGACAAGAAGGAGAAACCUGCAGUUCGACCUAGCCCCUCUCCGGAAAGGAGCAGCACAGGCCCUGAACCACCUGUUCCCACUCCGCUCCUUGCUGAGCAGCAUGGCGGCUCCCCACAGCCCCUUGCAACAACCUCCUUAAGUCAGGAGCCAGUGAACCCCCCAUCUGAGGCCUCCCCAACCCGAGGCCCUUCACCACCUAAGUCUCCUGAGAAACCACCUCAGUCUUCUUCCUCAGAGAGCUGCCCACCAUCCCCACAGCCUACCAAAGUUUCUCGGCAUGCCAGCUCUUCCCCUGAAAGUCCUAAACCCACACCAGCUCCUGGUGCCCGCCGAGAGAUUUCUUCUUCCCCCACAUCCAAGAAUCGGUCACAUGGCCGAGCAAAGCGGGAUAAAUCACACUCUCAUACUCCUUCCCAUAGGAUGGGGAGAUCACGCAGCCCUGCCACUGCUAAGAGGGGGAGAUCACGGUCUCGAACCCCUACCAAAAGGGGUCAUUCUCGUUCCCGGUCCCCUCAGUGGCGUAGGUCACGGUCUGCACAGAGGUGGGGAAGAUCUAGAAGCCCCCAACGGCGUGGCCGUUCUAGGUCCCCUCAGCGACCAGGUUGGUCCAGGAGCAGAAAUACUCAGCGAAGAGGCAGGUCUAGGUCAACAAGGCGAGGCAGAUCACACUCUAGAUCCCCAGCCACCAGGGGCAGAUCACGUUCUAGAACACCAGCUCGGCGGGGUAGGUCCCGCUCUAGAACACCUGCCAGGCGGAGAUCACGAUCUAGAACACCCGCCAGGCGCAGGUCCAGGUCAAGAACACCAGCCCGCAGGGGCAGGUCUCGGUCAAGAACACCUGCUAGACGCAGGUCUAGGACCCGAUCACCAGUACGAAGGAGAUCUCGCAGUAGAUCUCCAGCCAGGAGAAGUGGUCGGUCACGUUCUAGAACCCCAGCUAGACGGGGCCGAUCGCGUUCUAGAACCCCAGCUAGACGUAGUGGCCGGUCACGUUCUAGAACCCCAGCUAGACGUAGUGGCCGAUCACGCUCUAGAACCCCAGCUAGGAGAGGGAGGUCUCGGUCUAGAACCCCAGCAAGACGAAGAUCCCGCAGUAGAAGUAUAGUUAGGCGAGGAAGAUCUCACUCUAGGACACCACAAAGAAGAGGCAGGUCUGGUUCGUCAUCAGAGCGGAAGAACAAAUCCAGAACAUCUCAGAGGAGGAGCAGGUCUAACUCAAGUCCAGAAAUGAAAAAAUCUCACAUUUCCUCAAGGCGGAGCAGGUCUCUCUCUUCACCAAGAUCUAAGGCAAAAUCUCGCUUGUCUUUGAGACGCAGUCUUUCUGGGUCCUCUCCGUGCCCUAAACAAAAGUCACAGACACCACCUAGGCGCAGUCGCUCUGGAUCAUCACAACCUAAAGCAAAAUCUAGAACACCAAGGCGGAGUCGUUCCGGUUCUUCACCACCUAAACAGAAAUCUAAAACACCAUCAAGACAAAGCCAUUCCAGUUCAUCUCCUCACCCAAAAGUGAAAUCUGGAACACCACCAAGACAAGGUUCCAUCACAAGUCCCCAGACCAUCGAACAAUCUGCAACACCACAAAGACGGAGCCAUUCUGAAUCAUCACCUGAUCCCGAGGUAAAAUCUAGGACUCCUUCGAGGCACAGCUGUUCUAGGUCCUCUCCUCCUCAAGUGAAGUCUAGUACACCUCCAAGACAGACCCCAUCUAGGUCAUUGUCUCCACAGCCCAAAGUGAAGGCAAUGUCACCAGGACAAAGAAGCCAUUCUGGCUCCUCUUCUCCAAGUCCUAGUAGGAUGACUUCUAGAACACCUCCAAGGCAAAGCAGAUCAGUGUCUCCUUGCACCAAGGUGGAAUCUAGAUCGUUGCCAAGAGAGAGCCAUUCUAGAUCCUCCUCACCAGAUACCAAAGUGAAACCUGAAACACCACCAAGACAAAGUCACUCAGGGUCUGUGUCACCAUACCCUAAAGUAAAGCCUCAAACACCACCAGGGCAAAGUCAGUCUGGGUCAAAAUCACCAUGUCCCCAAGAGAAGUCUAUAGAAAUUCAAGCACAGAGUUGCUCUGGAUCAUUUUCACUCUGUCCAGGAGUACCGUCUAACACACCACCCGGAGAAAGCUACUUUGGCUCCUCAUCUCUGCAACAUAAAGGACAAUCUCAAACUUCACCAGACCCCAGAUCUGAUACUUCAAGUCCAGAAAUGAGACAGAGUCACUUGGAGUCUUCACCUCUGCAGAGCAAAUCUCAAACAUUUCCAAAGAGUGGUGGGUCCAGGUCCUCAUCUCCAGUCACUGAGCUGGCAUCUCCAACAAGACAAGAUGGAGGUGAAUUAUCAAGUCCUAGGCUGAAAUCAGGAAUGUCUCCUGAGCAGAGCAGGCCCCAGUCUGACUCUUGUCCAUAUCUUCCAUUGGACUCGAAAUCUCUUCUGGGACAGAGCAGAUUGGAGUCUUCUGAAUCAAAAGAGAAAAUGGUCUUACCCCUUCAGGAAGAUGUUGCUGCGUUAUCUCCUAGGCCAAGAGACAAAUUUAGUACACCUGUACAGGAUAGGACUGAAUCCUCACCAGUACUAAAAGAUGCACCUAGAACCCCAUCAAGGGAAAGAAGUGUCAAUGAAUCAUCUCCAGAUAGAAAAGACCAAAAUAAUACAUUACCUAAGUCAAACCAAGAUGAGGAAUUAAUGGAGGUGAUAGAGAAAUUUGAACAACCUUCAAACCAAGUGCUGCCUCAUUUGUCUCCAGAACAAAAACAAAUGGCUGUAAGUAAUUUUGAAUCAUCUCCUGAAGUAGAAGAAGGGCUAGCUCUUGACCAAAGCCAGUCACAAAUGGCUUUGGAAGAAGUUUCUGCAGUGGCCUCCUGUUGGGGAGUGCCACGUUUUUCUCCAGAGCAUAAAGAACUAUCUCACUCUCCUCCCAGGGAGAAUAACUUUGGAUCACCUUUAGAAUUUAGAAACUCAGGCACUGCUACAGAAAUGAAUACUGGAUUUUCUCCUGAGGUUAAAGAAGAUUUGAAUGGACCUUUCCUUAAUCAGCUGGAGACAGACCCAUCUCUAGACAUGAAAGAACAGUCAACAAGAUCCUCCAGACGUAGCAGUUCUGAGUUAUCCCCAGAUGUGGUGGAAAAGGCAGGAAUGUCUUCAAAUCAGAGUGUAUCUUCACCUGUACUUGAUGCUGUACCCAGAACGCCCUCAAGAGAGAGAAGUAGUUCUGCAUCUUCUCCUGAACUGAAAGAUGGUUUACCCAGAACUCCAUCAAGGAGAAGUCGGUCUGGGUCUUCUCCAGGACUUAGAGAUGGUUCCAGGACUCCCUCUAGGCAUAGCCUGUCUGGGUCCUCUCCUGGAAUGAAAGAUAUACCUAGAACCCCAUCUAGGGGGCGGAGUGAAUGUGAUUCUUCCCCAGAACCAAAAGCAUUGCCUCAGACUCCUAGGCCAAGAAGUCGUUCUCCAUCAUCCCCAGAGCUCAACAACAAGUGUCUUACCCCUCAGAGAGAAAGAAGUGGAUCAGAAUCAUCAGUUGAGCAGAAAACUGUGGCUAGGACCCCCCUUGGGCAGAGAAGUCCAUCUGGAUCUUCUCAAGAGCUUGACGGGAAACCCAGUGCAUCUCCUCAGGAGAGAAGUGAGUCAGAUUCUUCUCCAGAUUCUAAAGCCAAGACACGAACCCCACUUAGGCAGAGGAGUCACUCUGGAUCCUCUCCAGAGAUUGACAGCAAAUCCCGAGCUUCUCCUCGGCGCAGUAGGUCUGGCUCAUCUCCUGAAGUGAAAGAUAAGCCAAGAGCAGCACCUCGGACCCAGAGUGGUUCUGAUUCUUCUCCUGAACCCAAAGUACCUGCCCCUCGGGUCCUUCCUAGAAGAAGCAGAUCAGGCUCAUCAAGCAAAGGCAGAGGACCUUCUGCUGAAGGAAGCAGCAGUUCUGAGUCCUCACCCGAACACCCACCCAAGUCCAGAACUGCUCGAAGAGGUUCCAGGUCUUCACCAGAGCCAAAGACAAAGUCUCGCACACCACCUCGACGUCGCAGCUCUCGGUCAUCUCCUGAGCUAACCAGGAAGGCCAGACUCUCCCGUAGGAGCCGCUCUGCCUCUUCUUCACCAGAAACUCGUUCCAGAACUCCUCCAAGACGCAGAAGAAGUCCCUCAGUGUCUUCCCCUGAGCCAGCUGAAAAGUCAAGGUCUUCACGUCGGCGGCGUUCAGCUUCAUCUCCACGCACUAAGGCAACUUCAAGAAGAGGCCGUUCCCCUUCACCAAAGCCUCGUGGACUCCAGAGGUCCCGUUCCCGCUCACGUAGGGAGAAAACCAGAACAACCCGACGUCGAGAUAGGUCUGGAUCGUCUCAGUCAACUUCGCGAAGAAGACAGCGGAGCCGGUCCAGGUCUCGGGUCACUCGCAGGCGGAGGGGAGGCUCUGGUUACCAUUCCAGAUCACCUGCCCGGCAGGAGAGUUCCCGAACUUCCUCUCGACGUCGAAGAGGCCGCUCUCGAACACCCCCAACCAGUCGCAAGCGUUCUCGCUCACGCACAUCACCAGCCCCAUGGAAACGUUCUAGAUCUCGAGCCUCUCCAGCAACUCACCGGCGAUCCAGGUCUAGAACACCGUUGCUCAGCCGACGUAGAUCCAGGUCUCGGACCUCCCCUGUGAGUCGGAGACGGUCCAGGUCCAGAACAUCAGUGACUCGACGAAGAUCUCGGUCAAGGGCAUCCCCAGUGAGUCGAAGACGGUCCAGGUCCAGAACACCACCUGUAACCCGUCGUCGUUCAAGGUCCAGAACACCAACAACACGCCGGCGCUCCCGUUCUAGAACUCCACCAGUGACUCGCAGAAGGUCCAGGUCUAGGACCCCACCAGUAACCAGGAGGCGAUCUAGAAGCAGAACUUCACCUAUUGCUCGCAGAAGGUCAAGAUCCAGAACAUCCCCAGUCACUCGAAGGCGAUCUCGAUCACGUACAUCUCCAGUCACUCGGAGGAGGUCCCGAUCUCGAACCUCCCCAGUCACUCGUCGCCGGUCAAGGUCCCGAACGCCUCCAGCUAUUCGACGCCGCUCUAGGUCUCGAACACCAUUGUUGCCACGCAAACGUUCUCGAAGCCGCUCGCCACUUGCUAUUCGCCGCAGAUCUAGGUCCCGUACACCCCGAGCAACUCGGGGUAAACGGUCUUUAACAAGAUCUCCUCCGGCUAUUCGCAGGCGUUCUGCAUCUGGAAGUAGUUCUGAUCGUUCACGUUCUGCUACUCCUCCAGCAACAAGGAAUCAUUCUGGUUCUCGAACACCUCCAGUGGCACUCAAUAGCUCCAGAAUGAGCUGUUUCAGUCGUCCUAGCAUGUCACCAACUCCUCUUGACCGAUGUAGAUCACCUGGAAUGCUUGAACCCCUUGGCAGUGCUAGAACACCCAUGUCUGUCCUGCAACAAGCUGGUGGCUCCAUGAUGGAUGGCCCAGGUCCCAGAAUACCUGAUCAUCCAAGAACAUCUGUGCCAGAAAAUCAUGCUCAGUCUAGAAUUGCACUUGCCUUGACAGCUAUCAGCCUUGGCACUGCCCGGCCUCCUCCAUCCAUGUCUGCUGCUGGUCUUGCUGCAAGAAUGUCCCAGGUGCCAGCUCCGGUACCUCUCAUGAGUCUCAGAACGGCCCCAGCUGCCAAUCUUGCUAGCAGGAUUCCUGCAGCCUCUGCAGCAGCCAUGAACCUGGCCAGUGCCCGGACGCCUGCUAUCCCAACAGCAGUGAACCUGGCAGACUCACGAGCACCAGCGGCAGCAGCAGCCAUGAACUUGGCCAGCCCCAGAACUGCAGUGGCACCUUCAGCCGUGAAUCUUGCUGACCCUCGGACCCCCACAGCUCCAGCUGUGAACCUAGCAGGAGCCAGAACCCCUGCUGCCUUGGCAGCUUUGAGUCUUUCAGGAUCUGGCACGCCUCCAACUGCUGCAAAUUAUCCCUCUAGUUCCAGAACACCCCAGGCUCCAGCCCCUGCAAACCUCGUGGGUCCACGAUCUGCUCAUGCCACAGCUCCUGUGAAUAUUGCCAGUUCUAGAACCCCUUCAGCCUUGGCCUCUGCAAGUCUCACCAGUGCUAGGAUGGCCCCAGCAUUGUCUGGUGCAAACCUUACCAGCCCCAGGGUGCCCCUUUCUGCUUAUGAGCGUGUUAGUGGCAGAGCUUCACCCCCGCUUCUUGACCGAGCCAGGUCUAGAACACCACCAUCAGCCCCAAGCCAGUCUAGAAUGACCUCUGAGCGGGCUCCCUCCCCUGCCUCCAGAGUGAUCCAGGCUCCUUCACAGUCUCUUCUCCCUCCAGCGCAGGAUCGA